AUGGCGCGUGCCGAGUCCUCCGCGAGGAGAGCUUGUAAGCAGGAGGCGUGCUCCACAGGGCCGGCUGCACGCAGGUCAGAUGUCGGUUUGGAGAGGAGCUCGGCGGAGCUGCGCCGCCGUGUUCGCCACCAGCAAGCUUCAGUCGGUGGGUGCGACGGCAGUCGUCAGCGCCGUCGGGGCGCAAGGUGUGCAGAUUAUGCAGGUCAUAUACCUUACAGCGUUGGCUAUGACCACAGCUACGAUCCUGAUAAUGAAAUGUCAAGCAGCGACAGUCUGGAGAAGAGUAGCACAUGCAGUGAUGAUGAAUCUGUGUCCAGGAGGAAGAAGAUGCAAGAGGAUGCUCUAUUCGGCUUUUUCAAGAAGGAGGCUCUCAAAUCUCUCAAGAGGGAAUUCUCAAUUUUUUGUCAAAACGCUAAUAUCAAAGUCGAGAAUAAAAGGCUAAAAGCAACAGGGCUAGGAAGGGAUGCGUAUAGUGUGUAUGCCACCAAGUACUUCGCUGAGAUACUCAAGCGUAUGGCUAUUGGCCGGAAGAAUGUGAUCUCAAAAUACGGGUUCGAGCAUCUCCUGAAGUUUGAGAAAACUGAACUCCCUUCUCACUUCACUAGAUGGAUUGUUGGUUGCGUAGACACAAUAUCUUCCCAAAUCAUUAUUGACGAUCAGAAGAUUAUCUUUCUUUCUAAGGAGUCUGUCCAUCUUGUGUUGGGUUUGCCGAACAGUGGCGUUGUAGCGAUGCCCAAUAAGGAGAGAGGGAGGAGUUUCAUUAUGUCUAGGUUCAAUCUUUCAGAAAUUCCAAAUGUCACUUUCUUUGGAAAUAUGCUCACAUCAGAAGAAGAUCUUAGCGAUGAGGACACCUUUAUAUGUUUCAUGGUGAUUGUUAUGUCAUGCUUUCUGUUCCCUUCUUCAAAUGAUCAUAUACACACGGACUUCCUAUUCCUUCCGGAGGAUCCUACUGUCACAAGGGGAUUCGACAUGUGUCUUCUUGUCUACCAAUGGAUUUUGGCCGGCAUCAACCAAUAUGUGUUGUUUGGUAGGGAAACCGGCAGGAAACCAAAAGCCUUCGAUUUCUGGAUAUAUUGCUUGGCUGUGUUGUAUUUAGAUAAGCUUGACUUUGGUGUAAAGGUGGUCGAGCAAGGCACCCCAAGGAUUCUUGCAUGGAAGGGUAAUUUGAUUAAACAUUUCUCGGAACUUGACCGGAAGAAGAGCAACUUGUUUGGAAGGAGACCGUUCAAAAAGGAGCAUCUGUUUGCAACUGAAAUGGGUGCUCGUCACGGCAUUAUACAACAAGGAUCAAUGUCAGUAUCUUUCAAAGAGGAAAUGUUGUCAUCUUAUGCUAACGUUCUACAUGGGCAGAUUAUUCAGGGCAUCAUUGGCAGCGCACACUGCGACAAGAUAAAUGAGUCUGGUUUUCAAAAUGUUCAGGAAGCAAUAGCAUCAAAUGUGUUGAAGUUUCUAUCUGGACCUGGAGUAUCAUCUCUUUUCAACGCUGGUGGUCAGGGCACCCUUUCAAAACUAGGAUCAUUAGCGAAACAGAAGAUGGGCAUAUCAAGUGAGGAUGAUAGAACUCACAAAAAAGGUUUACGCGAGUAUGGUGAAAGCAGUGAUGUGAAUGAGAAGCUCAAGCACGUUAAGAGCAACAUCAGUCGAACAACUGUCAAGAUCAAUGAAAACAUGGUUUCAUCAAUUGCAGCUAGCAAGCAUUCCGACACAGGAACGAGCAACAACAAACUUCCGUUGCAACCUGUUGUUGAGAACAGUUUGUCGUUAGUUCAUAAGGACUCGCAUGACGCUUUAGCAACCCCAGAAUGUGCGAUUACUAAAAUUGUUGAACACAGCAAUGAAAAAGUGCCCGAAGUGGAAGUAGUGAAGAAGGUCAGGGCUAGGGUGUUCAACACAAUGCAUCGUGAGCAGGAGUUUUCUUUGAUUAACACAUUCCCAGCAGGGUUGAAGGAGCGCAACUCUUUUCUUCAGUUUAGUGUGCAACACAGCCAGGGCACUUUCACACGCUCCAUCAGUCUUACCGGCACAAAAAAGGAUGUUGGAGGUCAGAUUGCACCUCCUGAGGCAGGGCAGAGCAAUUACCAGAUGAUUAACCACAUGUCACCAAUUGGCCGUACAAAGCUGUUCAGCGAGGACUGCAACAUUGGCACCAGCAACAACCCUCCUAAGCUCAUGGCAUUGGCAGACAAGUUUUCAAAAACCAGCCAAAUCAUUGGCACAAAACAAGCACCAAUCCCAGUGGCCGAUCUUUCCCCCUCUAUGCCAACUAAGAGGAAGGCAGACAUCGUUGAUAUCAGUCCAACAAGUUUUGGUGUCAGGCAAAUCGAAUUAGCUAAGAAUGCAGAUCUUGUAUACAACAAUCUAAUCGGACUAAUUGCGAAACGUCAAUGCCAAUCUACGGUAGGGGUAGAAGAGGUUGUUGAUGUGCCAGACGACACUGAUAAUCAUAUCAUUAUCGAUGAACUUGCACCGGACACCGUUCUCAAUCAAGGUGGACAUGAUAAUUUGAUCAUUUUGCGACCAAAAAGUCUCCUGGAACUCCCAAUCGAGGAAAAUGAAAAGUUCCCUGUGUCAAAUGAAGAGUGCAUGCAUUACAACUCAAUAAUCGAACUUGCCUAUACAAAAAGAAUUCAGAGGAACUAUGCGUUGACGUACUCAAUGGUUCAUUGCAAUUACGUAUCACUUGGACAAAGCCUUAUGCCAACCGGGCACAUCGACAAUUUCCUGAUCCCUUGCUUUUGUCGGAAGUUCUUCGAGGACCAUCAUCCCUCAAUCUCUGGAAGGCACCAUUUCUUCCCGAACAUUGGCGAGUAUAUUCUGAACUACCCAAAAGACGAUAAACUAAGAUCAAUUGCCACUUCUUUUUUGGGGGCAGGAUCAGCAAGUAGGGGUAAACGGCUAGAUUUGUCAAAUACGCUGUUCUUCCCCACAUGCCUCGACAACCAUUGGAUAGUGUUUGCUGUCAAUUUCAAGUGGAAACUUUUUGCUUUCUUGGAUUCUUUUUACGACAAGGACUCAUAUCUUCACAAGUCUAUCAGAGAGAAAUUUAUCAAUAACUUCAUCAAGUUGUGGGAAAUCAUUUCCCAAACAGACCAGCAUAAUUUCAAGAUUUUCAAAAGGAUGUACCCUCACGUGCCAAAGCAGAUUAAUGGAAAUGAUUGUGGAGUGUUUGCAACAAAGAUAAUGGAGAUAUGGGACCCAACCUUGGAUCUAUGCAAGAUUUUCUCACAUGAAGACAUCCAACACAUAAGAAUUCAGUACAUGAACCAACUUUUCUUUUGUAAGAAAAACACUGCAGACAAGAGCCUUGUCACUGGUUUCAACUUACAGGGGUAA
rnacentral:rRNA from 1 species